rnacentral:rRNA from 1 species
UACGUAGGGUGCGAGCGUUGUCCGGAAUUAUUGGGCGUAAAGAGCUCGUAGGCGGUGUGUCACGUCGGCCGUGAAAACCUGCAGCUUAACUGUGGGCGUGCGGUCGAUACGGGCAUCACUGGAGUUCGGCAGGGGAGACUGGAAUUCCUGGUGUAGCGGUGAAAUGCGCAGAUAUCAGGAGGAACACCGGUGGCGAAGGCGGUUCUCUGGGCCUGUACUGACGCUGAGGAGCGAAAGCGUGGGGGAGCGAACAGG